AAAAUAAACCAAGAACCUUUUGUUCUUGUAUUCUCUUUUUAAACAUGGCCUGGUGCAUGUAGGCAAUUGGGAAUUGCACUAUACAUUGGAAACCUUCAUGAUACAUAAAGCGAGUUAACUACAACUACAAUAGGUGUUCAUCUGUUAGGACCAAGUGUCAGCUUUACAGGAAAGACACAGAUGGGGUGAAUUAAAAAAUGUUUCCCCAACUUCAGCAUAAUUCAAAUGGACACACUCCAUCCCUGACAAGCAUUGUUUUAAUUGUCUUGCAACAAUUCCCCUGAUGUUGGGAGUGAAUGAGUGCUUUAUUUUCCCUGUAUUGAUUCUGCAUAAGCUUAUUAUUUGCCCAGUCAUUUCUCUUCUUCCAUAUAUUUGAUUUUUUCCCUAUUUAAUAAAACUGUUAAAGCCUCUUGUAA